AAAACACAAGAUAUGUUUUUAUUCAUUGACCAGAGAUUCACAAUAAAAAAAUAAUAAUCAAAUAAUUCAUAAGGAAUGUUAAAAUAAUCACAGUCAGUAGUAACAUUUUCUCAGUAAAAUAUGUCUUUAUGUAUCCUAAGUGUACAAAGCUAUAUGUACCAUAUGUGGUCAAAGCAAAAUUAAUCUGCAUGUACCCUAUGUAUACAAAGCUGUAUGAACCAUAAUGUGUACAAAGCAGAAUAAAUCGGCAUGUACCCUAUCUGUACAAAACAAAACAAAUCUGCAUGUACCUUAUGCGUACAAAGUAAAGGAUACAUAAAAAGAUACACGACAAUUACAACUACAUGGUUCAAUACAUCUUAUUAACAGCUGUGUAAACUAGAAAGCUUUGUGGAUUGAUCAAUGGUCUUUCAAUUCUAAUAUCCAUUAGCAGAAGCAAACCAUAAAAUUAUCAAUUACCUGAAUAUUGACCUUCAGUGCGAAAAAAGCAUUUAUGAAAAAUCACAGAACAUAAUCAUUGACAGAAAUGUCUUCCCUGUAUUAUCAUAUAUCACUGAAUAAUAUGCUAUUUAUCAGUCCAAAUACACAAUUCAAAAGUAAACAUGUAUAUAAAAAAAAUUAGUACAAUAAGUCAACAAGUCACAAAAAAACUUCAAUCAUGAAGCAUAAACUCAUAAAAUGCUCUUCUAAUAUGUCUAACCUGUUCAUCAGUAUAUAUUAUACACUUAUUAUUAUGUUUAGUUAACAUUGAAGUCAUUACUAUGUGACAAUCAGACUUACAAUCAGAACUGAUUAUUAUGUUUAGUUAACAUUGAAGUCAUUACUAUGUGACAAUCAGACUUACAAUCAGAACUGAUAGUUAACAAUGAAGUCAUUACUAUGUGACAAUCAGACUUACAAUCAGAACUGAUAGACAAAAUAUGAUAACCUUUAAACUUAAAUUAUCUACAAAAAUAAAUAUAAAAAUAUUGCAUAAAUUAAAAAUAAUAAAUCCUGUAAGCUUGUAACCAUAAAACAAUAUUUAAUCAGCACUUUGUACAAUUUUCCUUUGAUCCUUUCAUAUUCUUGCUGAUAUCUUACCCAAGUCUGCAAUAUUAUAAGUACUAUUAUAGACAUAGUACAAUAUUAUAAGUACUAUUAUAGACAUAGUACAAUAUUAUAAGUACUAUUAUAGACAUAGUACAAUUAUUUGUUGUACCUAUGUUUUGGAAUAACAAUACAUAUAUUGGGCAAGUACUGCACAGUUUUGAUCCACAUGAAAAUACAACUGAAUGUAUUUAUAUGGAUGCGACAUGAUUUCUUUUUCCUGAAUAUCUUACUAAAUAUACAAUACAAUUAAAAGUGUAUAUUCCAUAUUGUUCAUAUAUAUAAAAUUAUUAUGUGUGUUGUAAAACACUGAUUUUAAGAAUGUUAAUGAAUUUCUCUUAUCUCAACACAUUUUGCUCGAGUCUCUGUACAUAUAUAAAAAAAGAAAACUAAUAUAUCUCUGAUAUAUAUUUUCAUCCUGUUUUCACUAUAUAUUUUUGAUUACCAGGAUUAAAGAGGUAUUACAUUUUGGUAUACAUAUUCCCAAUAAUUUGUAUUUCUACUAUUUUAUACAACUUUUUGGUCAAUCAAAAUGCAACCAAUCGGUUCAUUCAACCUAUGCCAACAUUUUGAAAUUUAGGUAUAAAAUUGUAUGAGAAAAUGUUGGCAUAGGUUGAAUUAUAUUGAACAGAUUAAGUGCUAUCAAAACAUAAACUGAUUAGGGUCUAAUCAAUUUACAACCAGUUUAAACAUAGCAUUUAAGUAUACACAAAACCAUUUUUGUUACAUUUAAUAGUGAAAAUGUAGGUAAUUGCAUGUGUUGAUUAUCUCCUUUUUAAUAGGAAUAGAUUGAAUAAAACAGUUGAAAAUAAGGUUUUCUCUAAUUUAUUAAAAGGAUUUUCAGCUUGUCAUAUCAAAUAUCUGCCAGUGUCAAUCUCGUAAGUAAAAUACAACAAUGACGAAAACAUUAAAAAUUAAUGAUAAUUUAAAUAGAUUUCUUUAAAUACAUUAACAUUCUCAAAUAUGAUGGUAAGUAAGAGUGCAAUUUCAAGUGAAACUUCUUUUAUAAAUGUUGGUCAUAUUUCAUCAGCUUCUGCUGCUAUGUUUGGAUUUAACUUUUGUUAAAGUUUUGGAUACCUUAUGUUUUAUGAAUAAAUUUGAUAUUGGCAGAAAAAGAGUUAUGUGGUAUGUUAACAAAUUUUGUUUGGGAGAUAUAAGUUGCUGGUGUGAAUACAGACUGGAAUUGCGUGUUAAGGGCAUACGAUACAGUUACAGGGAAGGUAAUGACGUUGCUAACGUAAAAUGUUAUUUUCGCGACGUCAAACUAUGACAUAUAUCGGGAAAAGAUGCAUUUUUCGACUGAUUUUUAUCAUUCAAACUGUUUUAAUUUGAAAACGAGUGCACAUGGACCCCUAUUUUUUAAAACAGCAAUUUGUUUCAUUUUGCAAGGAGAUUAUGUGACCCAAAUUUUAUAAAACUGUAAAUAGCACAUUUUUUUUUAAUUUUGAUAAACAUGCAGCAAAAAAUGACGUUUUUUCCUCUAUUCAUGAACAUUUGAUAAAUAUAGAGUUAUUUUGGAAUAAAAAUUUCAUAAUUUUUAAUGAUACUUAUAAAAUACAGAAAUUACCGAUUAUUUAACAAAAAAC
rnacentral:lncRNA from 1 species